rnacentral:rRNA from 1 species
GAUGAACGCUAGCUACAGGCCUAACACAUGCAAGUCGAGGGGUAACGAGAGGAAAGCUUGCUUUCCUUGUCGACGACCGGCGCACGGGUGAGUAACGCGUAUCCAACCUGCCCCCAACUAGGGAAUAACCUUGCGAAAGUAAGACUAAUACCCUAUAAUUUCCUCAGAUGCCAUCUGACGAGGAAUAAAGAUUUAUCGGUUGUGGAUGGGGAUGCGUCUGAUUAGCUUGUUGGCGGGGUAACGGCCCACCAAGGCAACGAUCAGUAGGGGUUCUGAGAGGAAGGUCCCCCACAUUGGAACUGAGACACGGUCCAAACUCCUACGGGAGGCAGCAGUGAGGAAUAUUGGUCAAUGGGCGGAAGCCUGAACCAGCCAAGUAGCGUGCAGGAUGACGGCCCUAUGGGUUGUAAACUGCUUUUAUACAGGAAUAAAGUUAGCCACGUGUGGUUAUUUGUAGGUACUGUAUGAAUAAGGACCGGCUAAUUCCGUG